rnacentral:rRNA from 1 species
GCGUAAGGGCUCGCAGGCGGUUUCUUAAGUCUGAUGUGAAAGCCCCCGGCUCAACCGGGGAGGGUCAUUGGAAACUGGGAAACUUGAGUGCAGAAGAGGAGAGUGGAAUUCCACGUGUAGCGGUGAAAUGCGUAGAGAUGUGGAGGAACACCAGUGGCGAAGGCGACUCUCUGGUCUGUAACUGACGCUGAGGAGCGAAAGCGUGGGGAGCGAACAGGAUUAGAUACCCUGGUAGUCCACGCCGUAAACGAUGAGUGCUAAGUGUUAGGGGGUUUCCGCCCCUUAGUGCUGCAGCUAACGCAUUAAGCACUCCGCCUGGGGAGUACGGUCGCAAGACUGAAACUCAAAGGAAUUGACGGGGGCCCGCACAAGCGGUGGAGCAUGUGGUUUAAUUCGAAGCAACGCGAAGAACCUUACCAGGUCUUGACAUCCUCUGACAACCCUAGAGAUAGGGCUUUCCCUUCGGGGACAGAGUGACAGGUGGUGCAUGGUUGUCGUCAGCUCGUGUCGUGAGAUGUUGGGUUAAGUCCCGCAACGAGCGCAACCCUUGAUCUUAGUUGCCAGCAUUCAGUUGGGCACUCUAAGGUGACUGCCGGUGACAAACCGGAGGAAGGUGGGGAUGACGUCAAAUCAUCAUGCCCCUUAUGACCUGGGCUACACACGUGCUACAAUGGACAGAACAAA